rnacentral:rRNA from 2 species
GGCGAGUGAAGCGGGAAAAGCUCAAAUUUGUAAUCUGGCGCCUUCGGCGUCCGAGUUGUAAUCUCGAGAAGUAUUUUCCGCGCUGGACCGCACAUAAGUCUGUUGGAAUACAGCGUCAUAGUGGUGAGAACCCCGUAUAUGGUGCGGAUGCCCAGUGCUUUGUGAUAUACUUUCGAAGAGUCGAGUUGUUUGGGAAUGCAGCUCAAAUUGGGUGGUAAAUUCCAUCUAAAGCUAAAUAUUGGCGAGAGACCGAUAGCGAACAAGUACCGUGAGGGAAAGAUGAAAAGCACUUUGGAAAGAGAGUUAACAGUACGUGAAAUUGUUGGAAGGGAAACGCUUGAAGUCAGACUUGCAUUUUGGAGUUCAGCCGCAAGGUGUAUUCUUCAAUUCGCAGGCCAGCAUCAGUUUUCGGGGGUGGAAAAUCGCGGUUUGAAGGUAGCAGUUUCGGCUGUGUUAUAGCUUUCCGCUGGAUUCACUUUUGGGGACUGAGGAACGCAGUACGCUUUUUGCAAGAUUCUAGAGUCUUUCGUACUUAGGAUGCUGGUGGAAUGGCUUUAAACGA